UAAUUUGCUAUCUGGUUUAUAUAUUGUUUCAAAUUUAUGGUGAAUAUUUGUAGGUCGUCACGAUUUUGUCAGUUACAUAAUUGUUUGUUACUGAUCCUAACUUUGUAUUUUCUAUAAAGUGAAAUAAAAUGAUUGAUUAAUAUCUUUAUUUGCUUUUAAGCCUUAUUUAAUAUUUAAUAAUUAGUUUAAUUAUUAAAUUUUUAUAUGUAUUUAAUUGAGAAUCUUUUUUGGAACCACAUGGUUAUCUUAUGUUAUAGAGUCAAUAAGAUUAUUUGUUGGAUAUACAACAGAGUUAAAAAAAAAAACAACAGGUUUAUCUAAUGUUAUCGUGGAGUCCACGAGUUGUGAUUUAUUGGAUAAAUAACGUAAGAUAUUUUUUGUAUAAGGUAUCUCAAGAAACUUCAUUGUCAAUAAACAAGGUACAAUGUUUUUGUUAUGUUGCAUACCCAUAAAUUUUGUUUAUAUAUAUUUAUAGUUUUUAUAAGUAGUAUUUCAUUAAAAGUAAUUUUUGAAACAACAGGGUUAGCUAAUAUUAUCUUAAAGUAAAUGAGUUGUGAUUUAAUGAAGAAACAAAGUAAGGUUUUUCUUUUAUAUGGUUUCCUUAGAAACCUUAUAUAUUUUUAUAUGUUGUAUUUCAUUGAGAGUAUUUUUUAAAACAACAUAAUUAUCUAAUGUUAUGGAGUCAUUGAGUUGUGGUUUAUUGGAUAAACAACGUAAGAUAUUUUUUAAUAUAUGGCGUUUCAUGAAACUUAGUUGAUUUAUAUUUAUAGUUUUUAUAUGUUUUAUUUCGUUCAGAGUAUUUUUUGGAACAAUAUGAUUAUCUAAUGUUAUCAUGAAGUCAACGAGUUGUGAUUUAUUGAAUAAACAAUUUUUAACAAAUUGGUUUGAGAACACAAGAAUAUUGGAAGUCAAGUUUUGAGAAGAGCAUCAAACACUGCCUAGAUCAAGAUCUUAUUAGCAAAGUGUGCAAAAAAAAUGGGGCUUGGCAAGCAAUAAAUAUAGAUAUAUCGAGAAGUAUCAAACGUUAGCUCAUGCAAGCAUCAAGUUUGAAUUAUUGUAGAAGUUUAACUUUUCGCUAACCUUAAACUUUUAUAUGUAUUGUAUUGAAAGAAUAUUUUAUUGAAAUAAAAAUAUUUGGUAA